rnacentral:tRNA from 2 species
GGGGUGAUGGCUCAGUGGUAGAGCGCUUGUCUAGAAUGUAUGAGGCAUUGGGUUUGAUUCUCAGCACCUCA